rnacentral:rRNA from 1 species
AACGAACGCUGGCGGCAUGCCUAACACAUGCAAGUCGAACGAGACCUUCGGGUCUAGUGGCGCACGGGUGCGUAACGCGUGGGAACCUGCCCUUAGGUUCGGAAUACCUCCCCGAAAGGGGUGCUAAUACCGGAUAAUGUCUUCGGACCAAAGAUUUAUCGCCGUUGGUUGGGCCCGCGUUGGAUUAGCUAGUUGGUAGGGUAAAAGCCUACCAAGGCGACGAUCCAUAGCUGGUCUGAGAGGAUGAUCAGCCACACUGGGACUGAGACACGGCCCAGACUCCUACGGGAGGCAGCAGUGGGGAAUAUUGGACAAUGGGCGAAAGCCUGAUCCAGCAAUGCCGCGUGAGUGAUGAAGGCCGUAGGGUUGUAAAGCUCUUUUACCCGGGAUGAUAAUGACAGUACCGGGAGAAUAAGCGCCGGCUAACUCCGUG